rnacentral:rRNA from 1 species
UACGUAGGGUGCGAGCGUUGUUCGGAUUUACUGGGCGUAAAGGGCGCGUAGGCGGUCACUACAAGUCAGUUGUGAAAUCUCUGGGCUUAACUCAGAACGGUCAACUGAUACUGUCGGACUAGAGUGCAGAAGGGGCAACUGGAAUUCUCGGUGUAGCGGUGAAAUGCGUAGAUAUCGAGAGGAACACCUGCGGCGAAGGCGGGUUGCUGGGCUGACACUGACGCUGAGGCGCGAAAGCUAGGGGAGCGAACGGG